rnacentral:rRNA from 1 species
CCUACGGGAGGCAGCAGUGAGGAAUAUUGGUCAAUGGACGGAAGUCUGAACCAGCCAUGCCGCGUGCAGGAAGACGGCGCUAUGAGUUGUAAACUGCUUUUGUACAAGUGUAAACCUGAAUACGUUUAUUCAGCUGGUAGUACUUUACGAAUAAGGAUCGGAUAACUCCGUGCCAGCAGCCGCGGUAAUACGGAGGAUCCAAUCGUUAUCCGGAUUUAUUGGGUUUAAAGGGUGCGUAGGCGGAUUGCUAAGUUAGCGGGUAAAUGUGCGGGCUUAACUCGGGGACUGCCGUUACUACUGGUGGUCUAGAGAGUAGAUGCGGUAGGCGGAAUGUAUGGUGUAGCGGUGAAAUGCUUAGAGAUCAUACAGAACACCGAUUGCGAAGGCAGCUUACCAAGCCAUAACUGACGCUGAGGCACGAAAGCGUGGGGAGCAAACAGGAUUAGAUACCCGAGUAGUC